UUCUUGCCUGUCUGAGGCCAAAAAAAAAAAAAAAAAAAUGGUAUUGGUGGGAGGGUCUGCCGGUCCACGGCGCUGGGCGCUGAGCAAGAGAGGGAGACAAAUGCUGGAUCCGGUCAGCUUCUUAUCCCAGUCUGUAGCAGAGCAGCAGCGAAAUGGCUUUCGGGGGUGGGGGGAUGGGGGAAGGAGAGAGCUUUUCCCGACGGUUGUAAAAACUGGGCUGGCGACGGGAAGCAGAGGAAGCCAAGCGAGAUUUGCAGCUGGACCAUCUGCUGGAAUCCAGUUGGCGGGUAUCAUCCCACCUGCGCUUCGUUUGGAACUGAUCUCCUGCUUUUUCUCCUGGAGCUCAAGACACACUUUCUUAUCCAGAUUGUCUCCACCACAGCCCUGGGAGCACUGCCAGUCCCAUCUAUCACUUGGAGGCAGCUGUACCAUUGGCUUAGAAGAGAUCCAUUGAACACUGUUCUACAUACUGUCUCAGCCCUGAGGUUGACUGGCUGGCUGCUUCUUUACUUGAAUUGCUGAUUGGAAAAUAAUCCAUCUUCCCACAUCAACAGUGAAAGAUAAUUGCCUAGCAGAGCUCAAACCAAAAGUUUACUAAAAAGAUGCAUCUGUGCCAGCCUUACAUCCCAAGACAGCAUUUGCAGUUGGUGUAAAACAGUGGUAUGUGCUAAUGAUCAUGGGAGAUAAGAGGAAAAGCUGCAGACUGGACAAUGUCAUGUAAAUGAUUUCUCAGACUACAGAAGGAGAGGAUGUAUGAGAAGCCCUCCCUAAUUUUCCAGAAAACAAAAGGUUCAGCUGUAUAUAAUCCAUAGGAAUCAGCAUAGAUCACCAAAACGCUAAGUAUCUUUAUGUACAUGAAUAUGCUUUUUAUUCCAAAGGAUCUUCUCAUAGAGAAAUGAAGCACACUCAGAAAAUGUAUGCAUUGUUAUCUCUCUAUUAUGAGUUGUAAUCAUCAUUCAAAGUUGCUAGAGAUGGAGAAUUAUCAACUUGAAAAUAACCUUGCACUUCCAGUCAAUGGAGAAAAAGUAGCUUAGAAAAGCAUUAGUGCCUGAACAAUUGAAGCAAUUAUGUUUUGCACAUAGGCAGGCAAAAUGCAAGGAGAACCAAGCAUUCACAUUACAGAAGUGAUAAACUGAUACUCAAUUGACGGGCUGAUUGAUUAAGUGCCAUCAAGCUGGUGUCAAUUCUGUAACCAUGUAGAGACUUUUCUCCAUGAUGAUCUAGUAUAUAAGCUGGCACAUUACUCUGAAAUGCUAUUACCUAAAGGUAGAAGAGAUUUGGAGAGGAAAUCAUUCAGUAAACAUAUUGUAAAAGAGUCUAAGAAAACAAUGGGUUUGUCAGUCAAUCAAAUCAGAAAAAGUAGUAGUACUUUAUUAUAGUCAUUGACCAGCUCAAGAAACAGAAGGAAAAAAAAUUGUGAGACAGCAAAUAAAAACCACAGAAAAAAACAAAUAAUUAUAAUUGGAGUUGUCAAAGUAGAGAAGUUUUGCAAAUAGUAAAAUAAAGCGAGCCAUGUUAAGAGAAAUAAAAUCACAAUAACUGGAUAACAACUACAAAUAAAAUGGAUCUAGGUGACCUGAAAUCUGACUACAUGAGGUAUUAUUAGCUGCAGCUGGAUAUCUUAAUGAGAGCAACAUAACAAAACAUUGGUUAAUUUUUCAAGAACAUCUUUGUUCAAUGAUAGUUUGCUCUGCUCAACUCUGUCGGGAGCAUUAUAUAUUGCCAAGAUUAAGGUUCUUCUGAAUUUGGGAAUUGCUAUUUGAAUUAGAUAUCUAGCUGGCUUGAGAAAAAAAUAAAAGAUCAGCUGUCUAUGUCAAGCCCAUGGGGGGAAAUGUAAAUUUAACCAGUAAGGAAAGAUGCAUAUCCAAAUAUGUGUUUCAAAUUUUUGAUCAUAGUGUAAGUCCAUGUUUAAAAAAACAUACUGGGAAGAAAGUAUGUUAUUUAAGAAUUUAGACUACACCAUCUUUAAAGGUCCCAUUUGAGCUCCAAAUAAAAAUUGUAUCUGCAUACUAGUUAAAAAUACAUCUCAUUCUUCCAUACAACAAAAUGGUCAGAAGUACAUAGCUAUUUCUUUCUUUCAGGGAAGAUUUAUUCUUCACAACAGACCAUUGCACUUCCCUAUGAAGCACAACUGUCUUCUUUGAUAUCAUUUUUCAGAUAUGUAGCCUCAUUAUAUCAUACAAUCAUUUGCUGCAAAUCAUCUGGAUUUACACUUUCAUAAUUUUAAUGACAUCAUCCUACUGAGUACACAUGCAUUCACAUCCCUAAACAACAUCCUGCUGUUACAAAUAUUCCCCAUACAUUUAUCCAUAACUUCUGAGGUGACAUCAGACAAAUUUGUCUUAUUCCCUGCAUUCCUUUACUUCAGUUUCAUCUCAAACAAUUUCAUCAUUUUUUUCCUUUUAAUUCCAAACUCUCUGUGGGAGGUUCUUUUUAACCUUGCUCAUCCAUAUCCAAAACAUUAAAACAAAAUUCUAUCAAAAUCACUCAACAUUUCCUAGUCAUUUUUUAAUAUUAGCUGUACUUUGUUCUUUGAAACUAUAUUUUUUCUAUAUAUGCAUUAUAAGUAUUUUCCCCUCAUUCUUUUUACAGCAAUCUCUUUUUUUCUCAUUCAGUUAUGAUUUCAACAUUCUCUCUUUUUCAUGCUUUCUAGCAUUACUCCACACACAGAAGCCUCUUUGCUGACAGUAAUAAUCCAGAUUUUUGCAUUCCAGAUUUAGUAGCCCUAAGACAGGGGUGUCAAACUUGCUGCGUCACUUGAUGUGCCGCAACAUAUCAUGACUUUUUUCCCCUUGCUGGAGCUGGGGUGGACGCAGCUUCUAGGUGACGCAUCCGGCCUACGGGCCAGCAGUUUGACACCUCUUCCCUAAGUAAUGUCUCAAUAAAAUCUGUGCAAUAGUCAUGUUUUUGCUGACAUCCUGGGAAAUGUAGUUUCAUCUGUUUCUUAAUAAUGCCCCUACAGUAGUUCUGAAUGUUUCUACUUGUACAAAACCUAUCAUUUCCAUGUGAAAAUGGUCAUUUUUGUGCUCACACUAGUUGGAAAUCCCAAUUUCUACCCACAAUUGAGCUCCUUGCAGCUGAUAAGUAACAAUGGCUAUAUUCUGUGCUGUUGGGGAGAUAAUUACAGAUAUUCUUUUAAGCAUUGGCCUCAAAAGGUAGGAUUUGUGUCACCUGGAAAUAGCUGCUCUUCCUGACAGGUAAGUUGUUCAUGGAGCCAAUUUAGACCUAAAGAAGCAACAAAAAUAAACUGCAGAAUAAGGCAGGCUUUUUAAGAGUAUUCUUUUUCCCUGGAAUCUUGUUUUAAUGAUGCAAAAUCUAUAUUCCUGUAAUAACAUAUUAUAUCUCUGUUUACUACCUACUUCAUUACCCACUUUUAUGUCUACACUGUAUUGUUUAUAUAGCCAAGCAACCUAGAAAGUUUGUGCAUUCAAGACUUUAACAAAUAUGGUGGCAUUGUUAGUUUUCUCCAUAGUACAAAUGCAUAACUUUAUAUAGGAAUUAAUUGAUUAAAAGCAAUUUUAAUACAGUCUUUAUUUACUUAAAACCAAUUAUCACAGAAUGGAUAAUAUCAUGUAGAUCAAGGUAAGUGAGAUCCAAAAGAAAGAAGGAUACUUAUACAUGUUUGUGUCAAUGCAUCUCCUGGAAAUACUCAACUCAAGGCCAAAAAAUAAAAUAAAUCUGGGCAGGAAUUUCUUUAGAAAUUCAAUGUAGAGAAAUAUACAAUGGGAGCUACUCCUUACCUACAGGCAGUAGGUAAGGGAUUCUGUAAGGACCCACCCCACUUUGCAUCUUAAGAAGACAGAACUCUUGGAAUAAUUCUUCCAAUAGGAAUCCUUUAUUAAGAGAAAAUGGUUGCAGGCGUUCUAAACAGGA